ensembl:lncRNA
CCAUCCCCGCAUGCAGGAGGAUUUGCCUCCAGCCCUCCCACGGCUGAAUCCAAGCCAUUCUGAACCACCACCUCACAACAGACUCAGAGCAUCUUUCUCUGCUGCAGUUGCAAACCCGUCAGAGUUUCUCUUGAGUGUUUUGCACCUUGUGAUGACGUCUGUCUGGGCUCACACCCUUCAUGUAGCUGCAGCUCUCCCUUGUCGCCCUAACUUAGGGCAGUGCUGUGGGGAGCAGAGCAGGGCUGGGAGCCAUCAAAGGUGCCACGUGAGGACUUGUUAAGACCCACAUGCAGAAUAUGAGCUUCAGCCGACCCUCCCUGGUGAGUACUGAAACUUCAGGGGCUGAACAUUUUCUCCCUGCUGGUUUUCUUCAACUUUUUUUUACCUCUUUGAAUGAAACAGACAUGUUGAACUAUUUUGAUACGACUGCGGCAAUGGGAAUACGCUUUCCUGAUGCUUCCAAUCCUGCAAAAUCACCUGCUCUUCUCCAACCAAAAAUACAAGAGUUGACCUUCUGAUGUUGAAGGAAAACAAACAAGCCUCUGGAUUCCCCUCAGGAAAACAAAUGGUCUCUGCUGUUCCAGCAUGGCCCUAUUUGGACAGCUCAAGGCUGGAAAUUCAAAAUUAGCAUUUGACAAUGAAACAAUCCAGGCAUGGAUUUUAAAAAGAGCAAUGAAUGGAAAGAGUUUUACCGUCAUUUAGGGAACUCUUCCCUUUCUUCUCUGACCACUUUUCUUUGCUGCUUGGUGCUACUGCCCUAGGAGGAGAUUUUGGGCUGCCCUGCCUUCCUUCAUCUCUGCAGGUUCCUGCUGGUGCUGCCCUAAUCUGGGUGAAGAGGAGAAAAUGUCUCUCCAGGCUCACACUAUGCAUAUGGAGAGUGGAAGAGGUCCAUGUGGGGAUGGGAGUAAUCCUGACAGGGGUAUGAACACUGGGGCUUCUUGACCAGGCUGUAGCCAUUUACCUUGCAGAGCCAGUGUGUGCUCUGCUGCCCAGCAGAGCAGUGGGGACUAAAGCAAUUAGAAGCAGUGGUACAUGGCUAAGAUGGAGGAGGAAAGGGCAGCACACGUGACUUUAUGGGCAGGUGUGAGGUCCCCAUCCCUGGCAGCAGCACGCAGCACAGCAGGGAAAACCCUUCCCCAGAUCCUGGCAUCCCUUCUUCCUCAUAGUGCUGCUACAAACAGCACAGCAGUGACUCACCCAGGGAGCAGGGCUGAGCUGGCUCUGCUCACCCUGUCCCUUGACCCCGUGUUCCUGCCAGUGAUGCAUGUUUUUCCAUACAGGUCCCACACAGUGGCUGUGAGCACCCCAGAGGGGAUUUUUAAAUGGACAUGGCCAAAGGAUUGCAGCCUGGGAGCAAAUCAAAGCAAUCCUUAAGGGAUAGAGGAGCCAUUCCCACAGCGACCUGUGCUGUGAGGCACGAACCUGCCUGCAGAAAGCACACAAUGCAAGGCCAGCUCUUGGCACGGCAUGGUUCCUGGUGUGCUGGCCAGACAUCUCUGCGUGGGGACAUCCCUGCUACCUGCUGGCAGAUUGCAGCCUGUGCCCACCAAAAGGAAGGCCCACCUGAUGCCACUCGUUUGCUGGGAAGAUGGUGCUCUGACUUCCCUUCAGGCUUUCUGGAAGAUGCCAGAGAGGACCGUUAGCACAGCAGGAUACUUCCUAGCAGACCCUACACCAUAUCUGUGCUCAGUAAAUACGUCUGCUUGUAUCCCAUCCAUUUCCCUGACACCCAAGACCUGCCACUGCUCACCCCCACAUCAUGUGCCCUUUGGGUCAAGUUGACUGGGAAUGCACCCAACCCACCUACAUUUGUGUUUGUGCAAAGGUUGUUUUGUCUCUGGCAGGUCCUGAUUCUUUUUCCAUGGUGGUUUUGCACUGCAUUGCAUUGCGUUGCCAUCAUCCUUCCAAGAAAAGCUCUCCAAGUACCUUCUGCAGGUGUCAUAGCACCAUUUCAUAAAUGUCUUUGGGGACAGAUUUGCAAUGCAUUAAGUACAGCUGUCAGCAAGAUGUCCCCACCAUUUUAACGCUAGAGCUGGGUCAGAGCCACCUCCCAGGGAACAGAUGACCUGAAAGGUGUCCUCAAUCUAUCAGAUCCUCCAAAUUAAGCCCUGCAAAAUGAGACCAGUAACGAGGCCAAAGAAGGGACGCAAUGUUGUGCAAAUACUGCAGGCUUAUCUGCUUAUCUGGAUUAUGCAACAGGCCUAGAAGUGCUUCUAUCCUAAGAACUUUUAAAAUGGUCUUCUGAGCUCUCAGGAGGUGUUGCAACACAGUGGCUCACUGCACUCCAAGGUGUGAGGCAUGUUCUGAGGAAAUUCUUGACUUACCUGUUGGCUUCCAGGCAAACUCAGUCAGUGUGUGCUACCCAGCACUUGCUCAUAGCUCAACGUAUGACUUUCCUGCUUCCAGAGAAGCCAGGGAGGAAGCAGAGAUGGUGCCUUGCAGAAAGCGUAAGGGCACAGCCAUGUUGCUGUGCUCUGCUUGUGGCGGAUGGGAGCCAGGAUAAGGCCACAAAGCCAUUCAGCUCUCUGAACUCCUACACUGCUUUUCUAACUUGACCCUGACAGCAGGAACUGAGCAGGACAGCUGUGCCAGGAUGAGUGGAAUCAGGACCCGUAAGCUCCGAAGCGUUAGGGUCAGCAAAGCCAUUUAUGUCAUACGGGAGGGAUGACAAAGGCAGUGACCUACAUGCAGGUCUGUCUGGUUGCACCACAGACAGGGAAAAGGCCACAGUGCAAGAAAUCCUCCUGUGAUGGAAGUGAAGGUGAGCACUACCCUGGGAGCAGAGCUCUUCUCUGGAGAUGAGUUCCCCUAUGCUGAGCUGGAGAGCUUGACUUCCUCAUCUCCUGUCUGGUUUCCAUAUGAUGCUCGAGGUAUGGAUGGCCCCAUACCAAUCUCAGCUCCACCAUACUGGUGAUUUGAGGUGUUUCUCUCAGAGAUCAUAGGUAAUUCAACAGAAAUAUACAGCCAUGACCAGGAGUUAGAGGGUCACAUACCUCUAAUUGGGCUCUGAGAGCCAGGCCAGGUCUUUAUUUCUCACACUAUAUCCAAUGCUCUCUGACUUGGUGGUGAGACCAGUAGAGAUGUUCAGAUGUGCAUUCUCUGUGCUACCCGGGGAGUUUGGGAGCACUCAGAUUUGGGGCAGAGCCCGUUCCCACUGCUCUGCAGGGAGCAGGCAUCUCCACCAGGCUUUUCCAGCAGCAGACACACCAGCAAAGUGCAUCCCACACUGCUGGAGCUGCAAGCAGCAGCACUGCUAUCGGUUGCCUCGUUACUUCCAGUAGAUCCCUGGGCUGGGUGCUCACUGUGUGCUUGCAAGGCUCAGUGUCUAGUGCAUAAGCCCUGGUUAUUCUUGUCCUCCUGGUUUUCUCCCAUUCCCUGCCCUAAUUUCUCCUCUCUGGAGCAGGCUUGCCUCUCCUGAACCCUCAAGCUAAAACUCUUCAUGUCCCCUUCCAACAUUCUUCUUCCCCGGAAGAGCUGCAGACAUACGGACUCCCAUGGGAGCAGAGUCCUCUUGUCCCAUGCACACACUGGAUUAUCUCCCAGCAGAUGCACAGGGGCAGCGAUGGGGACCUGCAGCCCCUUCCCAGUUUGCCUGGCUCUAACUGACAUAUCUCUGGGAGCUCAAACAGAACUCAAAUUGCACAAAUCCCUCUGAAAUACACGCUUGGCACUGGAAGCUCUGAUCGUCCCCGAGCAUAAGCUAAAUAGGAUUUUCUUCAAGUUUACCUUAAUACAAAGACCAGCUGCAUCCUGUCAGGCUGGAGGAGAUCGGCUUUGCGAGCGGAGGAGAAAAGAGUGAGAAAGAAGCAAAUUAAAGUAUUCCUGAGAGGGGAGAGGAUGUGUGAAUCCCUGAUGUGAAAUGGCCUGAAAUGAAAUCGCUGCAACAAGCAGCCUCCACAGAGUGCUUCUAGACUUGUGCUGUUGCCUUUCAUCGACCAAUUUAUUUCACCAAAGGCAAAAAUGCACGUCUGAGUGGACAGGACUCUUUGGCAGGAAUGGUACUGCUCUGUAAGGAGAUGGGAAGGAAAUGGAAGGGAGAAGCCACGGAAGCAUCGUCCACACGCACAGCCCAGUGCAGCCAAAUGGGCAAACGGCGUGUCAGCAUUUGCAGCUCAUCAGCAAGGAGUUCUGGCUGCUCCCCUGGGUAUGACGCCCCCUCCAUCUCCACUCUCCUCAGAAGCAGCCAGCCCAAGCGGAAUCAUUCUGCCCUUUCACUCAGCAGCAGCACUGGCUUUUGCAAAUUAAGGGCCAGAACAGAGAGGUGAUGAGACAAAAACUCAGCCCAGCUUUCAGACAUAGUUGCUACCCACCGCCUUAAGGGCAGAGAUCCGUACCCUGUGUGUGUGCUGCUGUUGGGACAUGGAGGCAGAGACAGUUCAUUCUGCUUUUUUUUUUCCAUUGUGCAUGGGUACACAACGUGGCUCUCAGCCUCCCCUACAAUAAUGCUUUGUUUCCCUCAACCAACACCACUCUGUCAGCGAUGUAAAUAAUUUUAGCACAUCCAAACAGGAAGUGGCUGAGUGUUUGGGUGUCUGAAUCAACAUCCUGGAGGCUGGGCCUUUGCCACCAGUGCAAUAACUAAAUGCAUGAGUCGCCUAUGGAUGGAAGCGCAGGUCUUGGAAAUGGCAGAGCCAGUAAAACUCAGUGCCAGAAUGUGACCGUUGCCAAAUAAUACUGUUGCUUGUCCAGUUUGUGUGGCCGCAGGCUGCUUCAUCUCAGCUUCUCCGUGCUGAUGCAAUCAUGUUUCCUUUCUGCUUGUGGCAUUGGUAUGGAAAGAGUAGAACGGAGGACUGGCACUAUUGCGUUGGUGCGCAGUACUCGAAGACUCUCAGGGUUGUAAGCUCAAUGGGCCAGUGGGGAAGCCAUGCACAGAAGGGAAGUUCUUCACAGAGAGAGUGUUGAGGUGCUGGAACAGGCUGUCCAGAGAGGCUGUGGAUGCUCUGUGCCUGGAGGUGUUCAUCCAGCUUGGAUGGAGCCCUGGGCAGCCUGGUCUGAUACCAGACCUGGAGGUUGGUGGCCCUACCUGCAGUUGGAACUUGAUGAUCCUUGAGGUCCCUUCCAACCCAAGCCAUUCUAUGCUUCCAUGACUUCAGAGCCACCAAUCAGAGCUUCUGAGCUUCCUGGGCCAAUUUUAGGAGAAGGAGUGGGCCCAUCUGCUGGUCCUGCUGGGGAUGCUGCAUGUGGGGUCGCUUCCAGAUCUGGUGAACACCCACGGGAAGCUGUCAUCAGCUGCUUGGCAGAAGCCAAAGGUUCCUACCAAAGUACUUCCCUGAGCCCUCCUGGUUUCCUGUCAAUAGAAAUAGUCGUCUCCUAACUUACACCCAUAAGAUCUUCUACAGGUGUUACUCAUUGCUCUCCUCUUUUAUCUCUCGCGCUGUUGGAGUGUGUUGGAAGGGUUUUUUUCUGGCCCAGGAAGAACACAUUUAUGAGCCAGUGCCCCGAAGCUCCUAUUGUUAGCUAUUUAAAAAGAAAGAAACAGAAGCCCCUCCCCCAAAACAACAAAGCCAAAGAGUAAGCUACAGAGCACACAGCCCCAUUUCAACAAUGCUAUCGUUAAUAAAACACGUGGAGGUUGCAGAGGGAGUAAUGCACUGUGCUGGCAUUGUGUUCUCACCUUGCACAAGUGUGUUUCAGGCAGAGAUGCUGAUCUCACAGGGACACUUCUGCAUCCCGCACCAAGCUGUUGCUUUGAGGCAGGUGUGGAUGGAGUGCUUUGUGAGGCACUGAGAGCAUCAACGCAUGCUCUGCCAUUUCACUGAAGAAAGUGGAAGCAUUUAACGAUGGGCUGGUGUGUAGGAGCAGUGACAUUUCUGCACUGUUAUUCAUCACGACCACGAUGGGCCAUGUUUGUCAAGAUGCCCUGUUUCGGAGAAGGCUCUCACACAUCCACUCUUGUUAUUCGUAACUGAGCAAAAAUGCAAUAUUUAAAAUGCAGCUGGCAAUGGCUUGGAGUCUGAAUCCUGCCUUGUCCUGGUGAAUCUCAGACAGUGAACCUGAGGAGAUGGCAGAUUGGAAGGGAAAACAGUCCGGAUUCGGGAGGGUGAAGUUCCGAUAUCUUGCAGAAUAAAAUUAAAAUCUCAAUUCAGAUCAAAACAGAGCUGUUAUAUCUCACGGGGGAAAACCUCCCAGUGUUUUCCACCAACUCAAGUAUCACUAUUAACAGAGAGUGACUUUUCUCACAGUGAAUGUGGUGUUGGUGGAAAUGCCAGAGGCGGCUGUAGGAAAUAGGACAUGACUUUUUGCUCUGAAUAAAAAUGUUUGGGGGCCGUAUACCCGUGGCUGCAGAGCUGUGCUGUGCCUUUGUCCUGCUGUGGGUGUGCAGAGCAAUGGGGUGGGAGACUCUCCGUCCUCUCUGCUUUGUGAAUAAGGAAAUAUUUCUCAGUCCACAGUGUCCACAGGCUGUGGUCCUUCCCAUCAGGGCAGGGAAUGGAUCUUGCUUCUCUGCAUGACAGCCAGCCUGCGGGGAGAGGUGUGUGGGGCCCAGGGACAACUCCUGACCUGCUGCUGUGGGGGAGAUCCACAGAUGGAGGCACGACUUGGAGUGAACACCCAAAGUCCUGGUUAGGACACAGUCCUGGGGUCUGAGUUAGAAGUGAACUAUUUCUUGCCAUUUGGGUGGUGUUUAUGGCAGUACCAGCUCCAAGACAAGCCCAUCACUUCCUGAAGGACUUGCUAAAGCUCAGCAGGAGAUGACAAAGCCCAUAUCAAAGCCAUGGGAGCAGCGACUGCUGCCACACAGGGGACACCUGUAACCUAUGUGCAGUGUUGGGGGCAUCAUGCUUUCUUCUUGAUCUGCUCUUGAACUUUUCCCCGGCUCCCCUUGCCCUGUACAAGGCACAGACAUGCCAGUGUUCCUGUAGCAGUUGGCGUUGUGCUCCAGCUGUGGAUCUAAUUGUGCUUUCUGAGCUGCAUGCAGGCAGCCCAGGGCAGUGCCACCGGUCAUCCCCAGCCACAGGUUCCUCCCAGCUGUGGUGCAGAGCUGGGCUGGGACAGGACUGAGCCAGGAUCCUGCCGCAGUCACCCCUACAGAUCGUGCUUCCAGCAUGAAGCUCCAACUCUGCAGAGAGAAGGCAGUGAGGAUGCUUUCGGGGUCCACGCAAGGCAGGAUGAGACACCCAUGCUACAGUUCUGCUAUCAGUGCAUGCUUGAUUGCUAACACCCAGCGAACCACCUCGGGCAGCAGUUCUGUUUACUCUCAGCUGGAGCCUGGCUUCCUCACUGUGCAGCAUCCAGGCCUUCACAAGCCAGCGGAGUUGCACCUUCACAGCC